rnacentral:rRNA from 1 species
UGGGGAAUAUUGGACAAUGGGGGGAACCCUGAUCCAGCCAUGCCGCGUGUGUGAAGAAGGCCUUAUGGUUGUAAAGCACUUUAAGCGAGGAGGAGGGUACUGGUAUUAAUACUACCAGCUACUGGCCGUUACUCGCAGAAUAAGCACCGGCUAACUCUGUGCCAGCAGCCGCGGUAAUACAGAGGGUGCGAGCGUUAAUCGGAUUUACUGGGCGUAAAGCGUGCGUAGGCGGCUAAUUGAGUCGGAUGUGAAAUCCCCGAGCUUAACUUGGGAAUUGCAUUCGAUACUGGUUAGCUAGAGUGUGGGAGAGGAUGGUAGAAUUCCAGGUGUAGCGGUGAAAUGCGUAGAGAUCUGGAGGAAUACCGAUGGCGAAGGCAGCCAUCUGGCCUAACACUGACGCUGAGGUACGAAAGCAUGGGGAGCAAACAGG